CUCAACAAACCAACAGACCUUCAUUACAUUGUAAGACUUUGCGACAGAAAGAAUUGGAAAUCCACUCAUAACCAAACAGAGGGUUACAGUCAAAGCUACAGGUGAUUGCAUCAACCAUGAAGUUUUUUGUGCUUACUUUAUUCUGUGUGGUUGCAUCUGUCAGCGUUUCUGCAUUCCCAAGAGGGCCACCUCCGCCGGGACCAGGGAGACAUGGUGAUAGGAGGCCUCCCCCCCACCAUGGGGAGCACCCUAAAUUCCCCGGAAGAGACCCACACUGCAAGGGAAAAACUACAACUGCACCAACUUCAACCACCACCGUCACUACUAGAACAACCCCUGUUACAACAAGUACUACUGUACAGUCUACAACCACCCUCACUAGUACUACCGCUACAACAUUACCUUCUACUGCCACUACACUUAAGUGAUUACUAGAGCUAGUAGAGUGGUCAACACUUCCCUGUGCUGAGGAAUAACACUGUCUCAUACCUGCUAAACUUUGUAGAUUUAAACCUCUAGUCCAUUAGUUCAACCACAAUUCCACACUUCACUAUGUGCGAAGCAAGAUGUGCAGCAUGAUGCUUUAGGAAUUUCCUUUUCUUAACUCCAGGCUUUUUCACAGAAAUUAAUAUUUGACCUUUACUAAUAGAAAAUAAAAUAACAUUAAUUUAUAUCUACUGUAAUCCUUCUGCAGAUAAUCAUCUAGACUUUACUUUUGCAUAUACUGUAUAUUCUAUAUGUCAAUUUACGUUUUGUUGAACACCACUCAGAACUACCACAAUAUGAUGUUUACUGUUUUGCGUUGUACAAAAUAUCAUUGGAAGGAAACUCAGAGAUUACUGAAAGAAGUCUCAGCAUUGUCAAUUAUGGUUUUUAUCAAUUUAAGUCUUUCCUUAAUUAGAAGACUUAUAAUUGUUCUUAAAUCUGAUAGUAGUAUGAUAGUGGCUGUAUUAGUAAUAGUCUGACUCCUGUAUAUUGUUUGAUAUCAAAUCUGUAAUUUAGUUUAAUA